CCAGCAGCCGCGGUAAUUCCAGCUCCAAUAGCGUAUAUUAAAGUUGUUGCAGUUAAAAAGCUCGUAGUUGGAUUUCUGGCGGGAGCAGCCAGUCCUGCCUCUUGCGAGGUUGUGCACUAGCGCUGUAUCCGGCCAUCCUUGUGGAGAACGUUUCUGGCAUUAAGUUGUUGGUCUCGGGAUCUGCAUCGUUUACUGUGAAAAAAUUAGAGUGUUUAAAGCAGGCAUUUGCUUGAAUACAUUAGCAUGGAAUAAUAAGAUAGGACUUUGGUACUAUUUUGUUGGUUUGCGCACCAAGGUAAUGAUUAAUAGGGAUAGUUGGGGGUAUUCAUAUUUAAUUGUCAGAGGUGAAAUUCUUGGAUUUAUGAAAGAUGAACUUAUGCGAAAGCAUUUACCAUGGAUGUUUUCAUUAAUCAAGAACGAAAGU
rnacentral:rRNA from 1 species